GGCCUCGUGGUGAUUCACGCCAAAGUGCAAAUUUGGAGCCACACCCCAGGGGGUGUCGGGGCCU
rnacentral:tRNA from 1 species